UCCUUGUGGUGGACGCAUCCUUGA
rnacentral:siRNA from 1 species